CUGUAGCUGGUCUGAGAGGAUGAUCAGCCACACCGGGACUGAGACACGGCCCGGACUCCUACGGGAGGCAGCAGUGGGGAAUAUUGGACAAUGGGGGGAACCCUGAUCCAGCCAUGCCGCGUGUGUGAAGAAGGCCUUUUGGUUGUAAAGCACUUUAAGCAGUGAAGAAGACCUAACGGUUAAUACCCGUUAGCGAUGACAUUAGCUGCAGAAUAAGCACCGGCUAACUCUGUGCCAGCAGCCGCGGUAAUACAGAGGGUGCAAGCGUUAAUCGGAAUUACUGGGCGUAAAGCGAGCGUAGGUGGCUUGAUAAGUCAGAUGUGAAAUCCCCGGGCUUAACCUGGGAACUGCAUCUGAUACUGUUAAGCUAGAGUAGGUGAGAGGGAAGUAGAAUUCCAGGUGUAGCGGUGAAAUGCGUAGAGAUCUGGAGGAAUACCGCUGGCGAAGGCAGCUUCCUGGCAUCAUACUGACACUGAGGCUAGAAAGCGUGGGUAGCAAACAGGAUUAGAU
rnacentral:rRNA from 1 species